UGGAGAGUUGUCCGAGAGGCUGAAGGAGCAUGAUUGGAAAUCAUGUAAGGGGGGAAUGCCCUCCUUCAAGGGUUCGAAUCCCUUACUCUCCGU
rnacentral:tRNA from 1 species